rnacentral:rRNA from 1 species
CCCUUAGAUGUUCUGGGCUGCACGCGCGCUACACUGACGCACGCAACAGGUGCCUGCUCCGAGAGGACUGGGUAAUCAUUUGAGUGUGCGUCGUGAUGGGGAUAGAAUAUUGUAAUUAUUACUCUUCAACGAGGAAUUCCUAGUAAGCGCAAGUCAGCAGCUUGCGCUGAUUACGUCCCUGCCCUUUGUACACACCGCCCGUCGCUCCUACCGAUGGGUGAUCCGGUGAAUGAUUCGGACUUCAGCGGCUCCUCUGGGGUGCGCCGGAGAAAGUUUUGUGAACCUUAUCACUUGGAGGAAGGAGAAGGCGUAACA